rnacentral:piRNA from 1 species
UAUAGGGCUUAGUACACGUGAGCGUGUUU